GAUGAACGCUGGCGGCGUGCCUAAUACAUGCAAGUCGAGCGAACGGACGAGAAGCUUGCUUCUCUGAUGUUAGCGGCGGACGGGUGAGUAACACGUGGAUAACCUACCUAUAAGACUGGGAUAACUUCGGGAAACCGGAGCUAAUACCGGAUAAUAUUUUGAACCGCAUGGUUCAAAAGUGAAAGACGGUCUUGCUGUCACUUAUAGAUGGAUCCGCGCUGCAUUAGCUAGUUGGUAAGGUAACGGCUUACCAAGGCAACGAUGCAUAGCCGACCUGAGAGGGUGGUCGGCCAACAUGGAACUGAGACACGGUCCAGACUCCUACGGGAGGCAGCAGUAGGGAAUCUUCCGCAAUGGGCGAAAGCCUGACGGAGCAACGCCGCGUGAGUGAUGAAGGUCUUCGGAUCGUAAAACUCUGUUAUUAGGGAAGAACAUAUGUGUAAGUAACUGUGCACAUCUUGACGGUACCUAAUCAGAAAGCCACGGCUAACUACGUG
rnacentral:rRNA from 1 species